UACGGAGGGUGCAAGCGUUAUCCGGAUUCACUGGGUUUAAAGGGUGCGUAGGAGGGCAGGUAAGUCAGUGGUGAAAUCCCCGAGCUUAACUUGGGAACUGCCGUUGAUACUAUCUGUCUUGAAUAUCGUGGAGGUGAGCGGAAUAUGUCAUGUAGCGGUGAAAUGCUUAGAUAUGACAUAGAACACCAAUUGCGAAGGCAGCUCGCUACACGAAUAUUGACUCUGAGGCACGAAGGCGUGGGGAUCAAACAGG
rnacentral:rRNA from 1 species